rfam:Arthrobotrys oligospora ATCC 24927 unplaced genomic scaffold scaffold00079, whole genome shotgun sequence.
AGCAUCGUGGCGCAGUGGAAGCGCGCCGGGCUCAUAACCCGGAGGCCAACAGAUCGAAACUGUUCGAUGCUA